CCUUCUCCCUUCUCUCUCUUUCUUCUCCUCCUUCCUUCCCUCACCAGAUCGUAAUCUAGCCACUGAUGUCGAUCCAAUCUCGCCGCACAAUCCGCCCUCCUCCGUCGCCGUAACCGCCGUAAUCCCCGCUCAAACUUCGCCGCACUUCAAAAGAUAGCCAAGUGCUUCCUCCUCGUGCUUCAGCUCGGAGAUCACAAGCCAAGUGAUAGCUACUGAAAUCAAAUUCCUCAUGGCCAUGAGAAGCGUCCAGAACAGCAGCGUCGACACCAUCAACGCCGCCGCCACCGCCAUCGUCUCCGCCGAAGCGCGCGUCCAGCCUUCCUCCGUCCCCAAAAGAAGAUGGGGAAGCUGCUGGAGCCUAUAUUGGUGUUUUGGAUAUCAGAAAAACAGCAAGCGAAUUGGUCAUGCGGUCCUUGUACCCGAGCCUACAGUACCAGGGGUUGCAGUUCCUGCCGCAGAAAACCAAACUUCCUCAACUUCUAUUGUACUUCCCUUCAUUGCCCCUCCCUCUUCUCCUGCAUCUUUCCUGCCAUCUGAACCACCAUCGUCUACUCAAUCACCUGGUGGAUUCAUGUCAUUCGCUGCCCUUUCUGCCAAUGCAUACUCUCCGGGUGGAACUCAGUCCAUGUUUACCAUUGGCCCUUAUGCAUAUGAGACCCAAUUAGUCUCACCACCGGUAUUCUCUACAUUCAACACUGAACCAUCUACUGCUCCAUAUACUCCCCCUCCUGAAUCAUCCGUGCAACUGACUACACCUUCAUCCCCUGAAGUGCCAUUUGCUCAGCUUCUGACAUCUUCGCUGGACCGAAGUCGUAGACACAGUGGUGGCAGUCAGAAGUUUGCAUUGUCCUAUGGCGAAUUCCAGCCUUACCAACAAUAUCCAGGAAGCCCGGGUGGCCAACUCAGAUCACCAGGAUCAGCAAUAUCAAAUUCCGGCACAUCUUCUCCUUUUCCCGACAGAUAUCCAGUGCUUGAAUUUCGCAUGGGGGAAGCUCCCAAACUCUUAGGAUUUGAACAUUUUGCCGCUUAUAAAUGGGGUUCAAGGCUGGGUUCUGGAUCAUUAACACCAGAUGGUGCGGGGUUGGGUUCCAGGCUAGGUUCUGGGACACUAACGCCAGACGGCUAUGAGCUAGGUUCAAGGUUAGCUUCUGGAUCUAUGACCCCUAAUGGUAGAAGCUGGCCUUCUGGAGAACAAGAUCUCUGAGGUGGCAUCCCUGGCCAACUCUGAGAGUGAAUGUCAAAAUGAUGGAAAUGUAUUUGAUCACAGGGUGUCGUUUGAAUUGACUUGUGAAGAUGUUGUGUGCUGUCUUGCAAAUAAACCAGGUGCAUCUUUUAAAACUGCAUCAGAAUCGUCAAAGGAUAAGUCAGCUGAAUUCCCAAAUGAAAGACAUGGUUCAUCAAUAACAAAUAAGUCGAGCGCUGGGGACAGUUUCAGUAGAAUUCCUGAAAAUGCUCUGGCAGAAGGGGAAGAUCAUUGUUAUCGGAAGCAUAGAUCAAUCACACUUGGAUCAACAAAGGACUUCAAUUUUGACAACACAAAAGCUGAUGUUCCCAAUAAGUCAGACCUUGGCUCAGAGUGGUGGGCAAACAAAAACGGUGCUGCUAAGGAAUCUAAACCUGGCAAUGACUGGACUUUCUUUCCAAUUCUACAAGCUGGAGUUAGAUGACAUAGGAGGGCUCAACAUUCACUUUACCUCCCCAUCUGAUGUAUAGCGUUGUAAAACCUCAGAUCACAUUGAUGAUUAAUUGAUGGAGGGCAGAGGUGAGUGUUUCUUAUGACCUGGAAAAACAAAAGAUAAAUGCAGAGGAUAUAGAAUGUAGAAUUGUUAGUGUGAGUACUAAAAAGGAAUUCUUUAGAAUAUCUCUUUACUUGAUGUUAUACAAAAGGAUAGCAUUCACUUGUUGUAGAUGUUGUUGUUCUGGAUUAUUUUUUCCUCAAUUUGUAAUAAAGAAAAGUUCUUUACCCCCAU